UACGAACGCUGGCGGCGUGCUUAACACAUGCAAGUCGAACGGAAAGGCCCUGCUUUUGUGGGGUGCUCGAGUGGCGAACGGGUGAGUAACACGUGAGUAACCUGCCCCUGACUUUGGGAUAACUUCAGGAAACUGGGGCUAAUACCGGAUAGGAGCUCCUGCUGCAUGGUGGGGGUUGGAAAGUUUCGGCGGUUGGGGAUGGACUCGCGGCUUAUCAGCUUGUUGGUGGGGUAGUGGCUUACCAAGGCUUUGACGGGUAGCCGGCCUGAGAGGGUGACCGGCCACAUUGGGACUGAGAUACGGCCCAGACUCCUACGGGAGGCAGCAGUGGGGAAUAUUGCACAAUGGGCGGAAGCCUGAUGCAGCAACGCCGCGUGCGGGAUGACGGCCUUCGGGUUGUAAACCGCUUUCGCCUGUGACGAAGCGUGAGUGACGGUAAUGGGUAAAGAAGCACCGGCUAACUACGUG
rnacentral:rRNA from 1 species